rnacentral:rRNA from 1 species
GGAAUUGUUCGCAAUGGGCGAAAGCCUGACGACGCAACGCCGCGUGGAGGAUGAAGACUUUCGGGUCGUAAACUCCUUUCGACCGAGAUGAAUACCCGCCGACCUAAUACGUCGGCGGGCUGACCGUAACGAGGGAAGACGCCCCGGCUAACUCCGUGCCCCCCGCCGCGGUAAUACGGGGGGGGCAAGCGUGGUUCGGAAUUACUGGGCGUAAAGGGUUCGUAGGUGGCCAACUUAGUCAGACGUGAAAUCCCUCGGCUCAACCGGGGAACUGCGUCUGAUACUGGAUGGCUUGAGUGCAGGAGAGGAACGCGGAAUUCCAGGUGUAGCGGUGAAAUGCGUAGAUAUCUGGAGGAACACCGGUGGCGAAGGCGGCGUUCUGGACUGUAACUGACACUGAGGAACGAAAGCCAGGGGAGCAAAC